UACGGGGGGGGCAAGCGUUGUCCGGAAUUAUUGGGCGUAAAGGGCUCGUAGGCGGCCAACUAAGUCGGAUGUGAAAUCCCCAGGCUCAACUUGGGAACUGCAUCCGAUACUGGAUGGCUUGAAUUCGGGAGAGGGAUGCAGAAUUCCAGGUGUAGCGGUGAAAUGCGUAGAUAUCUGGAGGAAUACCGGUGGCGAAGGCGGCGUCCUGGACCAAUACUGACACUGAUGAGCGAAAGCCAGGGGAGCAAACGGG
rnacentral:rRNA from 1 species